AUAUAAGAGUCUCAGUUUCAAUUCAUUGACAGUCAAGGGCUGCAAAACACUGAGCAUAAAAAUACGGGACAUUUAAUACAAGAUGGAUUUUUUGGGACCAGCACUAUUUGGAUUCAUGUUGGUGGCCUUUACCGUUUCAAACCCAAUUAGCCUGUCAUCCAGUUCUGAAUCUUCCGAGCCGAGUCAGUCGAGUUCAGAGGAGAUCACCGUACCGAGAAGCACCGCACAACCCAAUGCCAUAUCGAGCGUAAAGCUGAAUAUACAGCAGGUCAAUAAUCCAACUUCACUGCCAUUAGUCCUCCAGGAAACAAUUCACAAUACCAUCACAGAACAAACGAUUGACAUGAAGAUAAACCCCAUUUUUCUAUCACCGGCUGUAUCUGUUAAACCAGAACUUGAAACUGUAAUAGAGCCUGAUUUUAAUGCCACGACUGUAUCACCCAGAGGAGACAGCAUGUAACUAACAAUCAAAUACUGAAUAACCACAAUCUGUAUAAUCCUAAUUCAUAUACCAGAAUUUGUGUUUUUAUACCUAAUUUUCAGAAUUACUAAUGACUAAAAGUCAAUAAACGCAUUCAUGCAGGUUUAAAAGCAGAACUGCAAAAUGUUUUUAUUGAAUCGUUUUCUAUAAUCCUAUAUACACCAAAUGUGUGUUGCUGUAAUCAUUAUUUUUGUAUUUUGUAGUGUGAACUAACUUUUGUAUUACAUUUAUUCCUGUUACUGUAAGUGGCAUUCGAUCCAUGGGUUUGAUGCUUUUUAACGCUUUACAUAAUGAGAAUAUACAGAACAUUGAAAAUAUGUGGACAUAUGAUGCAAUUCCUCACCCCUUAGACAUCCAAGUUUGCUUUACAUAAAUGAGUUCAAAUUAUGUGUUGAAUAUGAACGAUGAUUUUAUCUAUUGUGUGAGAAGCGGGAAUUGUUUUUUACAUGUCUGCCUGAAAAUCAUCUUGAUGUUAUAUUUAACUUCUGCUUAAUAUUAAAAAGACAAAUAAAACUCCUAACUCAUUUAACAA